AGGGGGUUAAGAAAAUUAUUGAGAAAGAGCUGAAGGUUUGAUUUGUUUUAGAGAGGUGGAAUUUGAAUAAAAUAAGUUGUUUUUGCACUUUCAUCUUUCUGAGGCCCCGAGAGAGUGGUGGGAGACCGGGAUUAGAUACCCCGUUAUUCAUUCUGUAAACUUUGAUUCUUGAGAGUGUUUACUUGGGUAUUACGAGCUGCUGUGUAGCUGUUGUUAGUUCUAUAGAGCAGGAUGCUUAAAACCCAAAAAACUUGGCGGUGCCUUAAUUCUUUCCAGGGGAACCUGUCCUGUAAUUGAUGGUCCACGAUUUAGCUUACUUUUAAUUGCAUGUGUUUAGGGUUACUUAGAAACACAGCUUGUAUACCGUCGUCGUCAGAUUACCUUUAAGAGGUGGGUAGUUGUCGGUAAAAGUGGUUGUUCAACUACUAAAUUUGGAAAUAGUGGUAGCUUUUUAAGGUUUAGUAAGGGGAGAAUGCUUUUGAUGUCAGAUCAAGGUGCAGCUAAUGUAAAAGUAGAGAUGGGUUACAAUAAUUAUUUGUUGACGGAUAUCGAAUUGUAAAUUUUGAUUAAAGGCGGACUUGGGAGUAAUUUGUAGAAAAUAUUGUAUAAGUAGAGAGUUCAUGUGAAAUAUUAGUGCUAAGGUGCGU
rnacentral:rRNA from 1 species